rnacentral:rRNA from 1 species
AUUGAACGCUGGCGGAAGGCCUAACACAUGCAAGUCGAGCGCGAAAGUUCUUUGGAAUGAGUAAAGCGGCGGACGGGUGAGUAAUACAUGGGAAUCUGCCUGGUAGUGGGGGACAACGUUUCGAAAGGAACGCUAAUACCACAUACGCCCUACGGGGGAAAGGGGGGAUCUUCGGACCUCUCGCUAUCAGAUGAGCCCAU